rnacentral:lncRNA from 1 species
UGGAGAGCGAGCAGUUCCUGACGGAGCUGACCAGACUUUUCCAGAAGUGCCGGACGUCGGGCAGCGUCUAUAUCACCUUGAAGAAAUGACGGUCGAACCAAACCCAUUCCAAAGAAGGGUACUGUGGAGGGCUUUGAGCCCGCAGACAACAAGUGUCUGUUAAGAGCUACCGAUGGGAAGAAGAAGAUCAGCACUGUGGUGAGCUCCAAGGAAGUGAAUAAGUUUCAGAUGGCUUAUUCAAACCUCCUUAGAGCUAACAUGGAUGGGCUGAAGAAGAGAGACAAAAAGAACAAAACUAAGAAGACCAAAGCAGCAGCAGCAGCAGCAGCAGCAGCACCUGCCGCAGCAGCAACAGCACCAACAACAGCAGCAACAACAGCAGCAACAGCAGCACAGUAAAGGGCAUACAUUUCCUGCUUUCACCAAUUAACCACUGAAUUGCUAUUUUUUCCUUUUGGCCAGAUAGCUAGGUUUCUGGUUCCCCCACAGUAGGUGUUUUCACAUAAGAUUAGGGUCCUUUUGGAAAGAAUAGUUGCAGUGUUUAUAGGAUAGUUGUGGUAAGAAUCUAGUUUAUUUUGCAUUUGGCUAAUUGGUCUGUGCUGCAUGGUUAUAUACUCCUGGAUUAUAGAUUAAAAGUCUCUGUAGACAUCUCUGUGAAGAGCAAGCUAUCAUUAAACAUGUCUGUUU